rnacentral:lncRNA from 1 species
UUUCCUUUCUUUAUUGUUUCCUUCCAAGAAGAGAGUGAAGUCAUUACACAACUCUAUAAAAGUUGCCUCAUCGUUUUAAAGCAGGGAUGCCUUGUUAUCUGUAACCUUCAUCUACCACACUAGACAUGUCCGCAUAGCACACUAUCCAAGGUGAAUAAAAGCUUCUACAGGCUGUCUUUUAAUACUAUAUACAUAUACAUAAUCAUUUAGUUUAAUUUAAUUGAAAAGAUGCAUGCGGGUAAUCCAAUAUUGCCACGGUAAAUAAAGAAAAGAAAAUUUUGGUCCCCAUGCACUUACAAGGACAUCACAGCGGCAGUGCCGUUUGGCAUGUAAUAAAAAACAAGAUAUAUAGGAUCUUCCGAUGAGUAGACGUGGCGCUAUCUACUCGACUCCCAUCCUUUUGUCUGCAUUCUUAUUCAAAUGACAACCCAAGAGCCAGUUUUCUACAAUAGUCAACAGGUUGAGCAUGCCAGGACAGGCCACUUCAAGACAAUAUGCAAGACAUUUUCUAAUCACCUCCUGCUCUGUCCAAUACCAGCAUCAUCAGAAAAAAAAAAAAGAGGGGAAUCAAUGGAAACCGUGGCAUUUUGUUUCUGACUUUCUUUUUUCGCGGAGAUGUGUCACACUAGUACAGCGAGAAAGAAAACUACUACACAGCCAAUGAGGCAUGCGGUGUUCCCUGAGGUUUGUUAUAGGUUUGGGUAGAUGGUAACCGGCAGUGUUUUCCCAGAGCCUGCGGGACUGGAAUUAGUAAACGUUUACCAAGAAAUUUUGAAAAAGUAAACAUGAGAAAUGACGGGUUGACUGGAAAAU